rnacentral:rRNA from 1 species
AGAGUUUGAUCAUGGCUCAGAGCGAACGCUGGCGGCAUGCUUAACACAUGCAAGUCGCACGCCCCGCAAGGGGAGUGGCGGACGGGUGAGUAACGCGUAGGUAUCUGUCCACGGGUGGGGGAUAACGCUGGGAAACUGGUGCUAAUACCGCAUGACACCUGAGGGUCAAAGGCGCAAGUCGCCUGUGGAGGAGCCUGCGU